CUACCAUGGCAUUUACGGGUAACGGAGAAUUAGGGUUCGAUUCCGGAGAGGGAGCCUGAGAAACGGCUACCACAUCUAAGGAAGGCAGCAGGCGCGUAAAUUACCCAAUCCUAACUCAGGGAGGUAGUGACAAGAAAUAACAACUCGGUGCUUAACUGUACUGAGAUUGGAAUGAAUACAAUUUAAAACCCUUAAUGAGGAUCAAUUGGAGGGCAAGUCUGGUGCCAGCAGCCGCGGUAAUUCCAGCUCCAAUAGCGUAUAUUAAUGUUGUUGCAGUUAAAAAGCUCGUAGUUGAAUUUCUGGGUAGUCCUCUUUGUCCGCCUAUGGUGUUGCACAGAGUUGGGCUACUCAUCCUUCUGUUGAACCUUUCGGUCAUUCAGUUGUCCGGAUGUGGGAUCAGAUACUUUACUUUGAAAAAAUUAGAGUGUUUCAGGCAGGCAAUCGCUGGAAUACAUUAGCAUGGAAUAAUAAAAUAGGAUUUUGGUACUAUUUGUUGGUUUUUAGGACCAAAGUAAUGAUUAAUAGGGAUAGUUGGGGGCAUUAGUAUUUAAUUGUUAGAGGUGAAAUUCUUGGAUUUGUUAAAGACUAACUUAUGCGAAAGCAUUUGCCAAGGCUGUUUUCAUUAAUCAA
rnacentral:rRNA from 1 species